rnacentral:rRNA from 1 species
UACGUAGGUGGCAAGCGUUAUCCGGAUUUAUUGGGCGUAAAGGGAACGCAGGCGGUCUUUUAAGUCUGAUGUGAAAGCCUUCGGCUUAACCGAAGUAGUGCAUUGGAAACUGGGAGACUUGAGUGCAGAAGAGGAGAGUGGAACUCCAUGUGUAGCGGUGAAAUGCGUAGAUAUAUGGAAGAACACCAGUGGCGAAAGCGGCUCUCUGGUCUGUAACUGACGUUGAGGCUCGAAAGCGUGGGGAGCAAACAGG